rnacentral:misc_RNA from 1 species
CAACCCUUAAGCCUAGCUUAGUGUUGGGAAUCUGCUGUAUUGCAGUUCCUCAAAUACAACGGCGGAUCUGUAACAUCCUCUGAGCGUAGUAAAUUCUUAUCUCGCUUUUGUCAGGUGUUGCAGCUCUCAGCCGCUAAACCCCCAAUUUUUGU